GACCUGAUAGCACAAUGGUUAGUGCUUCUGCUUAACUUGCGUUGUUGUUGAAAUUUUCAACAGAGGAUCCCGUUUGAUUCGGGGUCAGGUCA